UCCCAUUCGGGAGGAAGAAUAAUAAUAAUAAAAGGGAAAACGUACAAUUACAAUAGGGGCUACAGCCCCUUUGGGGCUUGGCCCCUAAAUAUUCUGAGGUCCACAAACACUUUCCACUACUGACAAAUUUCCACUACUGACAAAAAGAUUUCUGAACUGAAGCCAUAAUUUCAUCCUAUAUACCUGUGAGAUUGUUCUCCAUGAUUUUUUUUUAAAGCAGCACACAACUGAUAAAAAGAUUUGUGCAACAACUUAAUGAUAUUCCAAGGUCUGCAAACUCUUAUUCAAAUGUCUACUUUAACAAAAAAAUUUCUAAAAUGGGUAUAGUGACUUUCUCCCUAUACCCAUGGCAAGAUUCUCUGCUCCAUGAACUCCUAUAAAGAAGCACACAAUUCAUAAAAGAUUUGUGCAUCAACUCUAUUAUUGUUAUUCUGAAGUCUACAAACUCUUAUACAAAUUUCCACUACUGACAAAAAGAUUUCUGAACUGAAGCCAAAAAGGUAAGCUAGCACUGUCUACAAUAGUUUCAAAGUGUUUGUAUAAACCCUAUACCUUCAAGCAGUUCAUGUUCAAUUAAUGUAAUCUCUGCAGAUUUCUGAAAUGCACUGAAGCCAUAACUUCCUCUAUAUAUCCAUCUGAUUGUUCUCCAUGAAUUGUUUGCACAAAGCAGUGCACAACUGAUAAAUAAAUAUUUGUGCAACAACUCAAUGAUAUUCCAAGGUCCUCAAACUCUUAUUCAAAUGUCUACUUCUAACAAAAAGAUUUGUUUCUGCUCCAUGAACUCCUAUAAAGAAGUGUACAACUGAUUAAAAAGCAACCUUGUCAACUUUCAAUUCACAAAAUGUCCUGAAAGAACUCUAAACUGAUGUAGGCAGUCAACAGUCAGUGAAGUUAUUUUAAAAAAAUGAAUACAUAAUCUCCACAUUAACAAUGUUGAAUGGAUGGCAUGUACUAUAUUUGGCCUAUGUAUACUUUGCUGAAAUUUGUGCCAGCCACAGGAGGAUGGCCUGCCCCUGCUGAGUCUGGUUCCUCCCAAGGUUUCUUCCAUUAACACUCUGGUGAUUAUGUUCCACAACUAUGUCCAUGAUAUCUCAUUAUUUUGCCCAUAAUGUUCCACUUUACUAUCUAUGGGAGUUUUUCCUUGCCACUGUCGCCUUUUGGCUUGCUCACUAGGGUUUAAGGCACAAUAUUUUCAAAGAAAAUUGAGUAAAGAAUGUAAAUGUGUAAAGAAUGU